rnacentral:rRNA from 1 species
AGUGAGCGCUGGCGGUAGGCCUAACACAUGCAAGUCGAACGGCAGCACAGUAAGAGCUUGCUCUUACGGGUGGCGAGUGGCGGACGGGUGAGGAAUACAUCGGAAUCUACUUUUUCGUGGGGGAUAACGUAGGGAAACUUACGCUAAUACCGCAUACGACCUACGGGUGAAAGCAGGGGAUCUUCGGACCUUGCGCGAUUGAAUGAGCCGAUGUCGGAUUAGCUAGUUGGCGGGGUGAAGGCCCACCAAGGCGACGAUCCGUAGCUGGUCUGAGAGGAUGAUCAGCCACACUGGAACUGAGACACGGUCCAGACUCCUACGGGAGGCAGCAGUGGGGAAUAUUGGACAAUGGGCGCAAGCCUGAUCCAGCCAUACCGCGUGGGUGAAGAAGGCCUUCGGGUUGUAAAGCCCUUUUGUUGGGAAAGAAAAGCAGCAGGUUAAUACCCCGCUGUUCUGACGGUACCCAAAGAAUAAGCACCGGCUAACUUCGUG